rnacentral:rRNA from 1 species
UACGUAGGAGGCAAGCGUUGUCCGGAAUUAUUGGGCGUAAAGCGCGCGCAGGCGGCCUUUUAAGUUUGAUGUGAAAGCCCACGGCUCAACCGUGGAAGGUCAUUGGAAACUGAAAGGCUUGAGUACAGAAGAGGAAAGCGGAAUUCCACGUGUAGCGGUGAAAUGCGUAGAGAUGUGGAGGAACACCAGUGGCGAAGGCGGCUUUCUGGUCUGUAACUGACGCUGAGGCGCGAAAGCGUGGGGAGCAAACAGG